AUUCUGGUGUCACGUCUCACCAUAUUUUAUACUCCUCUCCGAUGUAACUUGUGAUGCCUUAAAACAAACAAACAAACAAACAAACAAACAAACAAACAAACCUUACCUUUUCCUGCAUGGUUUAAAGGCACAGUGACUUAGGGUAGUUUCUUUCAGGUCCUCAAAUUUCAUCCUAUAAAGCAAAUCAUAGGAGUACCAAUAAUCCAAGACUAGUUGCUUAAAUGAACGAUCUCUUUCAAAUCUCUUGGCAUUUAAAAUGUUAAUCUUUCUAUAGCCGAAGGUUAAAACUAGUUUUUAGAUUUUCCAAAGAUAUUUCUGAUUCACUUUGGCUACAGAACACUUUAAUUUCAAUCAGAGCAUCGUUAAGACUCCGUUGAAGCAGGACCAACUCUAAAUCAGGAAAACAACUCCGGGCUUUCACAAAAACCAUUCAGAGGGAUGGCAAAGACUUUUCAGGGCUGACAGCUUCCUCUGCUCAUCUCGCCUGCUGUCCCCAUCGGAAAAAUCCAUACCCACAACCUUUCCCAGCCUUUCAUCUGCCUCUGGAGAAUCAGGGAAGCCAAUGGGAGUAUUGUUCGUUUGGCAACUGUGUUGUCCUUUGCUGUACAGAAGCGUGGUGGGCGUCCCUGACCACAAGAGCAGAUGAGAAGGGAAGCCAUAGGUAUUGUGCCUCCUGCCACAGGAGUGGAAUACGUGAUUCACAGUCCUCCUGCAGCAUUAAUCAAGCCGUGUUUACAUGGAAAGAAGCCAAAAGAGCCAGAGCCAAAGAGGUGCAUUUGCAAAGCCAAGUGAUGAUGUCAUCUAGGCAGAACAGCUCCGGCAAGCCACUUAGCUGGCCUAGAUGCCUUGUAUUUAGCUGUGGAGCAAAUCCCAGAGGAUGCAAAGCUAUCAGUGUUAAUCUUGGCAUGGGAAACUUCAAGGUGUGGAGCAGGAGAGUGAGAGGAUGCGUGUCCACCAGGAGAAGAGCAAGAGAAGGAUGCUAA
rnacentral:lncRNA from 12 species